UACGUAGGGUGCGAGCGUUAAUCGGAAUUACUGGGCGUAAAGCGUGCGCAGGCGGUUCGUUGUGUCGGCGGUGAAAGCCCCGGGCUUAACCUGGGAAUGGCCGUUGAAACUGGCGAACUGGAGUGUGGCAGAGGGGGUGGAAUUCCGCGUGUAGCAGUGAAAUGCGUAGAGAUGCGGAGGAACACCGAUGGCGAAGGCAGCCCCUGGGUUAACACUGACGCUCAGGCACGAAAGCGUGGGGAGCAAACAGG
rnacentral:rRNA from 1 species